UUUUAACCUCAACAUUUAUAGCUUAACAGUUAACCCUAUAAUAAAGUGACAAAUUCUAUUCAAUUUCAAGUAGACUUUGCCCAUUCCGCAAGUUAAUCACUCUGAACUGAAAUCUGUUUGAGCCAUGUACAUUUACAGAGGUUUGAAGCGGUUUAGAAUCUCUGAUUCAUCAAUUGUUAAUCGUCUAACAGUGCCUCAGUUGAAAAGAAAAGCUUCUAAUUCAUGGUCUGCUAUUCAGGACACUUUUUAUUCAACAAAGGUACUGUCUUUUCUUCUUUUUGAACUUUUUUUUUUUGUGAUUCUUUGAUGGAUAUUUGAUUGUUUUUAUGGGUUUUAGAUUAAAUUUUUUUAUUUUUGUGUGAGAAUGAACAUAUGUAAUAGUGAAAAUGUAAAUUCUUUCUUUUGUUUUGGUGUGAUUUUAUUGGGGAAUAGGAUAUAUUUGAGAGGCAUAAGGUGGUGUUCACAAUCUCGACGUCAAUAGCAUCAGUUGCUACAGCAUGGUUCGGUAUGUUGAUGGUUUUGUCCUCACUUUUAUUAACUUGCUUGCUAAUUCUUGUUGGAGUUUUGGGGUAUUCAUUUAUUACCAUUUAAUGUUGUUUUUCAUUCUUUGGCUUGAGAAGAAGUUUUGAUAUGCAAGAGAGUAAUUAUUCUUCAUUUAAUAAGUAAGAAGAGGCUUGCCUAUACACUUUCUAGUGUACACGUUGUGUUUUUUGAUUGGAGCUUGUCACUCACUACCUGGAUCAAUUAGCCUAUUCUAGUUUGCAUUGUGUCAUCCGAUUUUAGGGAAUUCGUUGGUUAAUGAAAUUGCUUCACACUUCCCAUAUGGAGGGAAUGAAGAUGAACUUGUCCCAUAAAAAGUGAAAAAAACUUGAAUGGGAGUGAUUGGUCAUUGAGAAAGAUGUGUUUUUGACAAAAUUCAUUGAACACCAUACACAAGUCAAAGCUUUUAGAGAGAAUGCAGAAAGAACUUGAAGGAAGUUUCAACAAUUUUAUUCUAUGUGUAACACACACUUCUCCAGUUAUAUACAAGAUGCUGCUACUUGCAAUGUACCAUAUCUAAAUUAAUGUGGUCCAAAGUAUUUAAUCAAAUGUUAUACCAACUGGAACGGACUGAUUAAUGAAAAGAACUUUAGCUACUUAAUCACCUACAAUCUCUUGAGUUAAUGAUGUAAAGACAAAGUCUUCUUUGCUUGAGUGAGCUCCUCUUGCAUAUAAGCCUUCUUGCCAACACCCUUGUUCAAGUUGGAGCCCUAUUAGGAGAUCAUUAUAGGUAGGGAAUGGUAGUGACUUAGUAAAAUGAUCUGCCUAUUGAGACAGAUAAGUGUAAAACGAAUUGACAUAUGGUCUCAAUCAAUUCCUCCCUGCUAUGACAAUCACACUCAAUGUGUUUUGUGCUUUUAAAAGAAACUGGAUCCAGUAAGGUAAAUGGAUACUUGAUUGUCACAGUCCAAGGGACAAGAGUAAUGGAUGUGACAAUCAGUUCAUCUAGCUGUCUAAAUACCUAAGACAAUUGUACCACCAGUUCUCUAAUCGAAUUAUAUAUAGCCUCUGCUGAAGAUAAAAAAAAUGGCAAGCUGCUUCUUAGACUUCCAACAGAGCAAUCUGGUACCUAAUAAAACCACACAGACAAAAACUGGUCUCCGUGAUCACUGUUCAGAAAACUUGAGUUGAAAAGAAGCAAAGAGGCACAUAAAAACUGUGCGUAGGAUCUUUUUUGAUGUUUCGAGGACCUGAGAUUGUAGCAGGGAACCCUUGAAGAUUGCUUAAAUUGAUUGAGGUUUAACCAACAAAGGAUAUAUCAGAUCUGGUGUGAGGAGGUUUGACUUCUGAAUAAGUUUAUUCUACUGGUCAGAACCAUCUUUGACAUCCAGAUAAUUAGCAGCUGAACCUGCUAACUAACUGAAUAAUUAUAUAACAAUGAUUCAUGUGAAAUUUUUCUAAAUCCUCAAAAAUUACCAUAACUUGAUUUAGAUGCAUAUGGUCGAGGGCGUGUAGAGGGAGGGGACGUGGUUGAGGAAUGCUCUGAAAUUAAACUAAUAGAACUAAAGCAAACUUUUGUUGAGGAGUCAGAAAUCUUUAGGUUCCUGCAGCAGCCAAAUCCAACUCGUAACAAAAAAGAUUUGAAUCUUUAAUUAGAGCUCCUUCCUCUCCAACACCUUACUUCAAGUUGGAAAUGGGAGGACGAACAAGUUUUGGCAGGAUUUUGGUUGGUCAAUGCAGGAAUAUCAACUUCUGGUGUAGCUUAAAUGACUGGGAAGUGGACACUGUGUCCUUGUUACUGCUCCAGCUUCACAACAACAAUCCUGAAUUUCCGAACCUGAUUUUCUGAUUUGGAAAGGUGAUGCAAAAGGAAAAUUUACAGUAAAAGCAUGGUACAACCAACCAAGUGACCUUUCUGCUACCUUUGUCAUUGGCCUUGGGAGUGUAUUUGGAGGUAAAAGGCACUUUGAGGCUGGAGUAUUUCACCUGGUAGUAGACUAGGGAGCAUGCUUAACUCAUGAAAAUCACUAGAAAGAGGGGUCAAUCGUCAAUAAAUGAAGCAGACAUUCACUAAAAAUGGAAGCCAAAAAGAGGAUAUCACUCGCCUUUAGUGAAGGCAAAAUGAGGAUAUCAAUCACCUCUUCUUCUAUUACUCUUUCAUCAAGCAAAUCUGGGAUCUGAUACUAGACAUUUUGGGAGUUGACUAGAUUAUGCCAAGGACAACCAAGGAGCUGUUGCGAUGCUGGUACACCAUACAUUAAAGGGAUGGAAAAGGCAAAAAUAAAGUAAAAGUUGACAUGAAGUGAAGAAAUGAUUACACAUUUUUUAAUUAAGAAAUUAUAAAAUAUAGUAGAAUUCAUAACUUAAGCAUUUUAAACAGUAAAUUCUUGCCAUUCAAUAUAGUGCUGCUACCAUUAUGCUUGCAACUUAAACUUUGAUCUGCUCUCCAACGUGCUCAUCUGUCAAUUAACUCGUAGGAUUUCUCCAUUCCCGACAAAUAAGAUGUCUAUUACCUCUAUAAACACUGUUUGGUUUUUAAAAAUCAGUUGACCGCAAGCAUAUUAGAGUGUCUCCAAUAUGCAAGAAGUUCUGAUCCAUUGAAUAUGACCUAUAAUUUUAGAUAUCUUGCCCAUCAGUGAGACUGUUAUUUUGCAUAAUUGAUCAGCUGACAGUUGAGUGAAUGAGAUUUUUAAGGUUGUUUGUCAAGGAUGUUCAUACGACCUAUCUUUAAAAUAUGUAAAAGUCACAUCUCCAACUUCAUUGUGCCUGGCUUCACAUUUCUUUGAUGGCUUGAUGCUUCUCUUGUAUAUUCACAGCACAACAUUUGAUUGACAGCGCCAAGUGUGUUUUUUCGUUAGAGUAUCUCCUUUGUCUUCUUAUAUGAUGCGUGGCCUGUCUGUAUUUGAACCCUUGGCUACAUUGUGAAUUGUCUUGUUUGGUGCACAAAUGUGGAUUUGGCUUAUAUUGGUUGACUUGGUUCCUUAGAAUUAUCUGCUAAAUACGUGCUAGAAGUGCAUAUAUUGAUCUCUUGUUCGUUUUAUGUUUAUAUUAGCUACUCUUCUUUCCCUAGAUACUUUGUUUAUGCCAUAUUUAAGCUGUCAAACAAUUGCAGGUUAUACUUUAAGACAUCUUCAUGAAUCAAGAGUUGAUCAACGGCUUGAAUCUAUAGAGAAAGCUGUAAGUACUCAUUGCAGAAUAAUGUUGUCCCACAAAUAUUUUACUAUUUCUGUUCAAAAGAAUAAGGUGUGUACUACACAAGAGAAUUUGUUGGAGUGCAAUAUAGAAGGGGUGUAGGCUUGUUGGUAUUAAUUCUUCAACAAUAUGCCCUUACAAAAUAGUGUAAUUAUUUUUUAUACAAAUAAGUGCAAUUAAGUACAUGAAGUUUAAAAAUAAAUUUAUUACAACCUAAAAUUAUUUGUGAUCGAGUGUCGCAUAAAACCUUUGAGUAGUUCUUUUUUUAUCCCCAAGGCAAUGAGAAGAUGUGGCAAAGUUGUCUUCUUUGGGUAAUUUGUAAUUAGAGUACACAUGGAACUUGACCUUCUCUACAUACUAUGGAUAUGGACCGAAUUGUUUAAGAUUUAUUGUUAAGCAUGGCAUGGAGUAUGGAAUGUGGAGUUAACUAAGUUUUACAUGUUCGCCAGCUUGUGUUACCUUCUUCUUCUUCUUUUUUUGUUGAGAAGGUAUCAUUUGUGAAUUUUCACUGAACCAGUACAUGGGUUGCACUGAAAACCAUGUUUACUCGUCAAAAAUGUAAGAAAAACAAAUCUAAAUUCUAGCAGGAACCUAGGAUAUCUAUAAUGGAUUCAGUGUUCUCUAAAUACAUCUGUUUGCACCAGAAGCAAAAAAGUCUGAUACAAUUUUGUUUUGAUCUUUUGAAGAUCAUAACUCUUGCUCUCAUAAUAUCUAGCAUUUCUUUCUUUUCGAACAGUCUACCAUAUACAGGCUGGGGCAAUCCUCCAUCUAUCUAUAUCUGCAGCUCCCACCCACUUCUCCCCAGCUGUACAAAAGAUGUGUGAUUUUGUUAGGCAUAGCCCAAGCAAAACCCAUGAGACUAAUGAAAAGCCUCCACAACUGAUAAAGCAAUAAUAUUUUAUGAAUGAAGGUCAAAGAUACAUGCAUACAAGGAGUGUACCAAAAAGUAGAAAAUUUUACAGAAGGAUGCUAUGACAAACACUCAAUUUUCUAUACAUUGUAUACUCACCUUCCUAGCAGCCUUAGGCAACCCGCC
rnacentral:lncRNA from 1 species